GGACUCAACUGUUGUCAGGAGGGCUUUCUGGUCUCUCCUGCUCCUCACACCAAAUUUUGUCCAUAUUUGGCUGUGAGGGAAUGCUGAACAUGGCCUCAGGCAAGGAGUUCAGAGACAUGGGGAAAGGAUGCCCCUUACUCCACGGCAUGGGCAGCCUUGAUGAGGAAACUCCUGUGACUUCUUUCAAUAACUUCAAGCCACAGGAGCCUUUUGACCAGCACUCUGUGACCGAAAGAACCAAAUGGACACUGACGCCGCUGGAAUAAUCCUGGCUCCUGGGUAUGAUCAUCAUAAAAGGAUCACAAUAAACAUGAAAUGGGUGUAGUGUUUACUUGUUAACAGUGAGAA